rnacentral:antisense_RNA from 1 species
ACACAUGGAAGGUGAGCCACACUAAUUAUGAAAAUCCACAGUGUGAAAGGACAGCGCUGCCCUGACCAUAUGCCAAAGAGUUCAAAGCCGGCCUCCAGAACACGGUCCAGAAGAGCUGGAGGGAGCGUCAACAUCCGGGGGACUCUGCUAAUACUCGGGCCCAGCUCCGCAAGCUGCGGGUCCAUCACAAAGGACAGCCGCUCUAGGCUAAUAUCGCAGACCUGGGAACACUGCCACUGCCAUUCAGGGGCGUAUAUGGACAAGACAAAACUGGCUUGGCUCUUCGGGCCAGGGGUGCCUUUUCCAAGGAUACUCAGAGCAUUUUGUGGGAACCUUUCACUCAAAGUGAAAAAUAAUUCCUAAAACGUGCAUAAAACCCGCCUUGAACAAUGGCUGCUCGGUUCCUCUCACUCCCCCAAAUCAUGUCUCAUUUUCCUACAACUGACAUCCUCCGUCUAGCCCUUUAACUUUAUCUCCGUGUUGGCUUUCUGACAGACCAAGAGGCUCAGAUUGACAGUGGUGGUGCCAUUUGCUGGGGGCUGUAAACUAGUUCAAAAAGCUUGCAGUCUGUGCCAGGAUGCCACCUUAUUGCCAAGGCAGGAUUUGCACUUUACAGAGAAACUGGCAUCUUAAGUAAGUAUCUGGGUCCAUACAGUGAUUGCUGGUCUACAGUAUUCGUUUUUUUGUUGUUUUUUUGUCUUUUUUUUUUUUUUUGAGACGGAGUCUCGCUCUGUCGCCCAGGCUGGACUGCAGUGGCGAUCUCGGCUCACUGCAAGCUCCGCCUCCUGGGUUCACGCCAUUCUCCUGCCUCAGCCUCCUGAGUAGCUGGGACUACAGGCGCCCACCACCACGCCCGGCUAAUUUUUUGUAUUUUUAGUAGAGACGUGGUUUCACUGUGUUAGCCAGGAUGGUCUCGAUCUCCUGACCUUGUGACACAGUAUUCUUUAAUCACAGACUAAAUAGUAAGUACUAUGGAAGUUUUGAGAACAGAAAUGUACUUUCACAUUUUUCUAAUAAAACCCAGAUGAGCUGACAGCAUCAGGCCAUUUUAGGGGAGCACUAUACUCAAAGUGCAGACGCUCCUGGAGGUGAAGCAGUGAUGCCAUGGCUUUCUAAGUUAUUCUAGUCUAAGAAGAUUCCCAACAGACAGAAAGAGGGAGGAACAGGAUUGGUUCCAGGUCAGGCCCUCAAUUCAUCACUCAGUGUUGGCUUUUCUGCUCACUCUCCUACCAGUGCCAAAAUCAAGUUUGUUUAAAUUAAAUCCAAACUCAGCAUAGACAGAUUUGAGCACUUCCUUCUUAACACCAAAUCAUCUCCCACUCUACAAAUCUAGAGGUUCCUGUACAAAUGAACUCAGAAAUAAGCUCGACAUAAAGAAUUCUUAAGGCUGGCUGAGCUGCACACAUGACAUCCUGGAACAUGGCUACCCAAUUAACACCAACUUACAUCUAUCUUCACGCAAGAGUUACUUUAAAUUUCAGGUGAGACAGUCUUGGGAUGAAGAAAGUGUAGGAAUGGAAAUCUUCCUUCCCAGAUGGACUGGGAUAACACCACUGAACUCAUUCUCACUUAUAUAUUAGGUCAAACUGAUCUUUGAUUCCCAAGGGUGAGAUUCCACCGUGUUAGUCUGAAGAAGGCCAAGGAACCACAGUGAUGAGCAGCUCUGGCCCUGAAGUCAGCCCUGAGCUAUCUGCCAGUACCCCUCCUCAUUGGGGGAUAACAUCACGACAUCAAAAGCAGAAGCUGUGGCCACGGUUGCAUCGUCCUGGCUGAGGGCUAGUGCCUGUAUUCUUGCAUCGUGCUCAAAACGAUGAACAGGGUACUUUCCGGUCCUUAAAUCCCAAAUAUUAAGAAACCCUAUGCAGCAAGAAACAAUGCAGCAAUGGAACAUUUGGUUGUAAGAAACAGACACCCACUGAAACUGGCUUAAACACAAAAAGGAAACUGACUGGAAAGGAAUGAGGCUAUUUCUUGGAGCCCAAGGGCAGGAAGUACAGCUGGAGGUGAUAAGGGAUCAGAACCAGGAACCAGGAAGACAUACAGAACCAAGGAAAAGGAUGCAGACAAAAGAAGAAACUGGGUCUCUUGAAACAUCCAGAAGACAAGUGAGGACCACUGGCCCAAUAAAGGAGAAGGGGCAGGGCCUGGCAGUCCCACCUGCUCCCUGGGCUCAGGACCCUCCACCUUGACAAGCAGCAGCCAGGCUGAAGGAACUCUGAGCUCAGCCUAGACCAGGAACAGCCAUUAACGAUGACAUGAGUAACGAUGGCCAGUCUUUCGAGGAGACAUAAAGCCUGCUCAGCAGCUGUGGAUGGGCACCCAUGCCAGUUUGCAGCAGGCCCCUCCCACCUCCCUAAGGAGGCCAGCCAGAGUGUGGUAAUGAAACUGCACAUAGUGGAAAUGGGAUCUAAAUGAGUUUAAACUGAUUUAUGUUAGCUUUUGUAAAGAUUACUCGAUAUCUGGAAAGUGCUACCACUGUGAAAUAAUGUCGACAAUCCUUAAGACCUCCGUCUAAUGGUACUUGCACAGAAUAUUUAUAUUCUUCGUCAUGGGAACAAGGACCAUAAUGGAUACCAUUUUUGUUUUAUUAGGGAUGCAUAUUUAAAUUAAUCUGCUAUUUGCCUAAACAAUUAGCUGCUUCUGUUUGUGUGCACAAAGCCAAAAUUGCAAUUAAGCUUCCAUCAAAAAGAUAAGCCCCAACUAAAACUGUCCCGGUGGAGUCAUAAGAGCUCAGGGCAGAACUUUCCAAAAUUACUUUUUAGCAUAAUGGUAAUUAUGUUAAUUGCCUGAAAGGUAAAUAACUGCUGAACUGGUUUUGGAAAAAAAACACAAUUGGUAUACUCUUCCCUCCCCUUUGAUCUUUUCCAUGCUCCACAAUAUUUAAAACAGGUUAACAGUUUCGAAAGGUCAUAGACUAGUCCCUUCUUCAACUACAGAGCUGGUCUUGUGGUCUUUAGUGGUUUCUUGAUUAGAAAUUAUUUCAGCCGCGAGCUCCCAUCCUCUUGAGCUUCCACAAUAAACACCUGAAGCUUGGUGUCAACUUCAUGAUCGUUAAAUAGACAGGAUCAAUUAACUGCGUUCAGAGAUACUGAAUGAAGUUGACUAUUUAUAAUAAAGACAGCUGGCAAUCUCAAUUUCUACCAUGUAAAUAAACACUUGCCUAUCAGAAAUUAAUCAGGAGUCAAAAGAAAUUCUGCAACAAAGGAAAAGGCAUUUUGACAAAAAUUUUAAAUAUACCCAUAGUACUGACUUAACAUGUACCUCUUUGUUCAUUAAGUCCACACAUCACCACUCUGAAAUGCAGGCCAGAGACAUAAAACUAGCAUAAAGUUGGACAGGACAAAAGUUUUUGCUCUUCAUGGAAGAGGUGCCGGUGGGAGAUUAGUAUCAGUGUAGACAAGGGUCAUAAAGAACAGCUAAACCACGGAGGGUCACGAAAAAGGAAAAAGGCUGAAGUUUCUUGUUACUGCAGCUACUGUGGCAUGCCAUCCUGCAUUCCCGCUGACCACAGCUCUACAGCUCUGUUGCCUAAGGCAGAAAAUAAACAGAAAACAUUCUGGAAUCUGCAUUUUAGAUUGACAAGUAAAAGAAUCUGAAUAGGCUUGUGGAGGAGGCGACUGGUUAGGGCAUAAACAAAGCAGCGAGAUCACCACAAUAGAAACUGAGUCAAGAGAAGAGGAAGUAAGAUUGAAUAUAUUUAGUAGCUCUCAAAUUCAAAGCAGAAAGAACACCUGAAAAAGAAGAAUGAAAAAUGACGAGACAGCAGACUGAAAAGGAGGCAAAUAGUAUAUUGUUAAGACUAUGGCAAUGUGACUAGAUAGAAGAAUUUCCAGUUAACAUCUUAGGAAAAACAGAUUGAUGGAGAAGGCAAAGAAUUUGGACCAGCUUCUACAAGGGGAAGUUCCAGAGGGCAGGUAACGUGAAAGAGACAUCACUGUGCAUGCAGCCUCAGACUGAGGCCAGUGUUCUCUAUAACCGAUAUACACAUAAUAUAGACUCUAUCCCGAAGAGAUCAGCAGACACUGGUAGUAGCAGAUGCCUCUAAGGAGGGGAGUGGGGAAUCAGUGGACUGGGUGGUAGUAGAUUAAAAAAAAAAAGAUCACUACUGAAGCUGAGUGAUGGGUACACGGGGGUGCAUCAUGCUAUUCAUUCCAUUUUUGUGUAUUUUGAAUUUUUCACAAUAAAAGAUUUUUAAGAAU